rnacentral:lncRNA from 10 species
CACUGCACUCCAGCCUGGGAGACAGAGAGAGACUCCGUCUCAAAAAAAAAAAAGAGAAAUAUUUAGGUCUUAUACAGGCACAUAUUUGAUUUCUCCAGCAUUACAGAUAAUUGAAAAAACAUUCCCCCUUCCAGAAAGUUUGGGUAAAGAUCUCAAAAAUAGUAUGUCAGGCCGGGUGCAAUGGCUUACAUCUGUAAUCCCAGCACCUUGGGAGGCCAAGGCAGGUAGAUUACCUGAGGUCGGGAGUUCGAGACCAGCCUGGCCAAUAUGGUGAAACCCCUUCUCUACUAAAAAUACAAAAAAUUAGCUGGGUAUGGUGGUGGGUGCCUGUAAUUCCAGCUACUUGGGAGGCUGAGGCAAGAGAAUCACUUGAACCCAGGAGGCAGAGGUUGCAGUGAGCCAAGAUCAUGCCAUUGUACUACAGCCUAGGCAACAGAGUGAGAUUCUGUUUCCAAAAAUAUAUAUAUAUAUAUAUAUUACGUCAGAGAACUGAAUGUCUGUGGCUAUCGCCACAUGAAUAGUCUGUAUUCUAAGACUAAGGGAUUAGCACAAAUCCUCUGAAUAUCAAAUAUAUAAUUGAAUUUUUUCCUUUGCAUUGUUUAUCAUGGUGUCAUACAGGACUUCCUAAAUUUUUUUUUAAUUUUUUUAAAAAUUUUAAGUUCUGGGGUACAUGUGCAGGAUGUACAGGUUUGUUACAUAGGUAAACGUGUGCCAUGGUGGUUUGCUACACCUAUCGACCCAUCACCUAAGUAUGAAUCCCAGCAUGCAUUAGCUAUUUUUCUUGAUGCUUUCCCUUCCCCCUUGCCACUCCCCAACAGACCCCAGUGUGUGAUGUUCCUCUCCCUGUGUCCAUGUGUUCUCAUUGUUCAGCUCCCACUUAUGAGUAAGAACAUGUGGUAUUUGGUUUUCUGUUCCUGAGUUAGUUUGCUCAGGAUAAAGGCUUCCAGCUCCAUCCAUGUCCCUGCAAAAGACAUGAUCUUGUUCCUUUUUAUGGCUGCAUAGCAUUCCAUGGUUUAAAUGUACCACACUUUUUUAUCCAGUCUAUCAUUGGUGGGCAUUUUCGUUGAUUCCAUGUCUUUGCUAUUGUGAAUAAUGCUGUAAUGAACCUACCUGUGCAUAUAUCUUUAUAAUAGAAUGAUUUAUAUUCCUUUGGGUAUAUACUCAGUAAUGGGAUUACUGGGUCAAAUGGUAUUUCUGGUUCUAUGUCUUUGAGGAAUCACCACAUCCUCUUCCACAAUGGUAGAACUAAUUUACAUUCCCACCAACAGUGUAAAAACGUUCCUAUCUCUCCACAGCCUCACCAGCAUCUGUUGUUUCUUGUCUUUUUAACAAUCGCCAUUUUGACUGGGACUGCCUAACUUUUUCCUUAUAAUCAAUAAUUAUUGACUAGCAAAGCAGAACCCUCUCUAUCCAGCACACCUUAUCCUGGCUCCUGGAGGAUGCUUCUCUUUGUGUUUCUCUUGCAGAGUGUGUACUAUUUGGCAAGAACAUACUGAGUGAUUUGUACAAACUAUAAGAAAUGUCAGGCCAGGCAUGGUGGCUCACGCCUAUAAUCCCAGCACUUUGGGAGGCCAAGGUGGGGAGAUCACUUUAGGUUAGGAGGUUGAGACCAGCCUGGCCAGCACGGUGAAACCCUUUCUCCACUAAAAAUACAAAAAUUAGCCGGAUGUAGUGGCAUGCGCCUGUAAUCUCAGCUGCUCGGGAGGCUCAGGCAGGAGAACUGCUUAAACCCAUGAAGUGGAGGCUGCAGUGAGGUGAGAUCGCACCACUGCACUCCAGCCCAGGCAACAGAGUGAGACUCUGUCUCAAAAAGAAAAAAAGCAAAAAGAAAAUGUCAGGCUGGUAUUUGCUUAUGAUCUGCCGCUCCUCUUUCUAGAUAACUGAAAGCACCUGGAGUCUGUUCCUCAAACACACCCUCCUUGUCUCGGAACCUUUUCACCUUCUCUUCCCUCUGCCUUACCACUGGCUCUAGGUACAGCUGCUCCUUCUUCCUCUUCAAGUCUUGCAAAAAUAAUUCCUCAUAUUAGAGGCCUUCUUUGACUCCUAAUUUCCUAGUUUAUUUCCUUCCUAACACUUAACCGCAGUCCUGUUUAUAUAUUUACUUUUUGUCUCCAUCCACUAAAAAAGAAAGCAUCUUAAGGCAUAAGCAGGUUCUGUCUUGUUCCUCGAAAAACUCUCAGCACCUAGAACACAGGUGCUGAAUAAAUGUGUAUCUUACACAAAACAAACCGAUCACUCAACAUACCCAUAUUGUUCUGGCAGAAAAACCGGCUGCCAUUUGGAGUUAUCCGACCUGGUUUUGAACAGGACACUGGAAGCCUUUAUUAGAGGUUCUGAAGCCCAGCUCCAUAUUUUUAGGUUGGUGCAAAAGUAAUUGCGAUUUUGGCCAUUACUGGCAAAAUAAUAGAACCUAAUAGAAUAAGAUUAGGAGAUUCACCAACCUCAUAGAAUCUCCCAGGAAACUUAAAAAUUAUCUUUGCUCAGACCCUGCUCAGACUUAGGGGUGAUGGGUCAGUAUGGAAGCAUUACGUUUUAAAAGCUCUUUUUGUAAUUACUUGUGCAACCAACAUGGAAAAGUACUGCUCUGAGUGACACAGAACUGAAUAAUUACCUGGCUACCCAUGUUCUUAUUAUCUGGGUGAGUCCUUCUUAGGUCAUCUAGGUUGACAGCAUCCCAAGCUGUUCUUCGGAUCAUUCUCUAGGCUGCUAUAAACAUUUGCCUCAUUAUCACAAGAGGCAGCCUUAGGCACAAACCAGAUGAAAAAUCAACCUCUCAGGAAAGAAAAGAGGCAUUCAAGUAACCUAAGUUAAUCUGUUAACACCUGUCCUGAAAACCUCAAACUAAAGGGAGAAAGAAAACUGCAGCACACUUCUCUUUUCUUUCUUGGAAGAAAGUCAUCAACAAAUCCCUUCAUUUAGCUGUAGAAGUAAGAGGCAAUCAAUCAAUCAAUCAAUCAAUCAAAUACUUGUGCUACAAAGCAAAUAAAAAAAUAAUGCUGGCCUGGCACGGUGGCUCACGCCUGUAAUCCCAGCACUUUGGGAGGCCGAGGCGGGCGGAUCACGAGGU